GAUGAACGCUAGCUACAGGCUUAACACAUGCAAGUCGAGGGGCAUCAGGAAGAAAGCUUGCUUUCUUUGCUGGCGACCGGCGCACGGGUGAGUAACACGUAUCCAACCUGCCCUUUACUCGGGGAUAGCCUUUCGAAAGAAAGAUUAAUACCCGAUAGCAUAAUGAUUCCGCAUGGUUUCAUUAUUAAAGGAUUCCGGUAAAGGAUGGGGAUGCGUUCCAUUAGGUUGUUGGUGAGGUAACGGCUCACCAAGCCUUCGAUGGAUAGGGGUUCUGAGAGGAAGGUCCCCCACAUUGGAACUGAGACACGGUCCAAACUCCUACGGGAGGCAGCAGUGAGGAAUAUUGGUCAAUGAGCGGUAGCCUGAACCAGCCAAGUAGCGUGAAGGAUGACUGCCCUAUGGGUUGUAAACUUCUUUUAUAUAAGAAUAAAGUGCAGUAUGUAUACUGUUUUGUAUGUAUUAUAUGAAUAAGGAUCGGCUAACUCCGUGCCAGCAGCCGCGGUAAUACGGAGGAUCCGAGCGUUAUCCGGAUUUAUUGGGUUUAAAGGGAGCGUAGGUGGACUGGUAAGUCAGUUGUGAAAGUUUGCGGCUCAACCGUAAAAUUGCAGUUGAUACUGUCAGUCUUGAGUACAGUAGAGGUGGGCGGAAUUCGUGGUGUAGCGGUGAAAUGCUUAGAUAUCACGAAGAACUCCGAUUGCGAAGGCAGCUCACUGGACUGCAACUGACACUGAUGCUCGAAAGUGUGGGUAUCAAACAGGAUUAGAUACCCUGGUAGUCCACACAGUAAACGAUGAAUACUCGCUGUUUGCGAUAUACAGUAAGCGGCCAAGCGAAAGCAUUAAGUAUUCCACCUGGGGAGUACGCCGGCAACGGUGAAACUCAAAGGAAUUGACGGGGGCCCGCACAAGCGGAGGAACAUGUGGUUUAAUUCGAUGAUACGCGAGGAACCUUACCCGGGCUUAAAUUGCAGUGGAAUGAUGUGGAAACAUGUCAGUGAGCAAUCACCGCUGUGAAGGUGCUGCAUGGUUGUCGUCAGCUCGUGCCGUGAGGUGUCGGCUUAAGUGCCAUAACGAGCGCAACCCUUAUCUUUAGUUACUAACAGGUCAUGCUGAGGACUCUAGAGAGACUGCCGUCGUAAGAUGUGAGGAAGGUGGGGAUGACGUCAAAUCAGCACGGCCCUUACGUCCGGGGCUACACACGUGUUACAAUGGGGGGUACAGAGGGCCGCUACCACGCGAGUGGAUGCCAAUCCCUAAAACCCCUCUCAGUUCGGACUGGAGUCUGCAACCCGACUUCGUGAAGCUGGAUUCGCUAGUAAUCGCGCAUCAGCCAUGGCGCGGUGAAUACGUUCCCGGGCCU
rnacentral:rRNA from 1 species